rnacentral:rRNA from 1 species
UACGUAGGGGGCAAGCGUUGUCCGGAUUUAUUGGGCGUAAAGAGCGUGUAGGCGGCUUUGCAAGUCCGUUGUGAAAACUCGAGGCUCAACCUCGAGACGCCGGUGGAAACUGCAAAGCUAGAGUCCGGAAGAGGAGAGUGGAAUUCCUGGUGUAGCGGUGAAAUGCGCAGAUAUCAGGAAGAACACCCGUGGCGAAGGCGGCUCUCUGGGCCGUUACUGACGCUGAGGAGCGAAAGCGUGGGGAGCGAACAGG